rnacentral:rRNA from 1 species
CUCCCGGUUGAUCCCCGCCGGACCCGACUGCUAUCAGAGUGAGAUUAAGCCAUGCGAGUUAACGUAGCAAUACGUGGCGCACGGCUCAGUAACACGUAGUCAACAUGCCCAGAGGACGUGGAUAACCUCGGGAAACUGAGUCUAAACCGCGAUAAGUGAGGAUUUCUGGAAUGGUUCCUGACUAAAAUCUAUAUGGCCUCUGGAUUGGACUGCGGCCGAUCAGGCUGUUGGUGAGGUAAUGGCCCACCAAACCUGUAACCGGUACGGGCUCUGAGAGGAGGAGCCCGGAGAUGGGCACUGAGACAAGGGCCCAGGCCCUAUGGGGCGCAGCAGGCGCGAAACCUCUGCAAUAGGCGAAAGCCUGACAGGGUUACUCUGAGUGACUUUCGCUAAGAAAGUCUUUUGGCACCUCUAAAAAGGGUGCAGAAUAAGGGGUGGGCAAGUCUGGUGUCAGCCGCCGCGGUAAUACCAGCACCCCGAGUGGUCGGGACGAUUAUUGGGCCUAAAGCAUCCGUAGCCGGUUCUGCAAGUCCCCCGUUAAAUCCAGCUGCUCAACAGAUGGGCCGCGGAGGAUACUACAGAGCUAGGAGGCAGGAGAGGCAAGCGGUACUCAGUGGGUAGGGGUAAAAUCCGUUGAUCCAUUGAAGACCACCAGUGGCGAAGGCGGCUUGCCAGAAUGCGCUCGACGGUGAGGGAUGAAAGCUGGGGGAGCAAACCGGAUUAGAUACCCGGGUAGUCCCAGCCGUAAACGAUGCAGACUCGGUGAUGGGUUGGCUUCGCGCUAACCCAGUGCCGCAGGGAAGCCGUUAAGUCUGCCGCCUGGGGACGUACGGUCGCAAGACUGAAACUUAAGGAAUUGGCGGGGGAGCA